rnacentral:rRNA from 1 species
GAUGAACGCUGGCGGCGUGCCUAAUACAUGCAAGUCGAGCGAACAGAUAAGGAGCUUGCUCCUUUGACGUUAGCGGCGGACGGGUGAGUAACACGUGGGUAACCUACCUAUAAGACUGGGAUAACUUCGGGAAACCGGAGCUAAUACCGGAUAACAUUUGGAACCGCAUGGUUCUAAAGUGAAAGAUGGUUUUGCUAUCACUUAUAGAUGGACCCGCGCCGUAUUAGCUAGUUGGUAAGGUAACGGCUUACCAAGGCAACGAUACGUAGCCGACCUGAGAGGGUGAUCGGCCACACUGGAACUGAGACACGGUCCGGACUCCUACGGGAGGCAGCAGUAGGGAAUCUUCCGCAAUGGGCGAAAGCCUGACGGAGCAACGCCGCGUGAGUGAUGAAGGGUUUCGGCUCGUAAAACUCUGUUAUUAGGGAAGAACAAAUGUGUAAGUAACUGUGCACGUCUUGACGGUACCUAAUCAGAAAGCCACGGCUAACUACGUG